CCUACGGGAGGCUGCAGUGGGGAAUAUUGCACAAUGGGGGAAACCCUGAUGCAGCGACGCCGCGUGAGUGAAGAAGUAUUUCGGUAUGUAAAGCUCUAUCAGCAGGGAAGAAAUAGCGACCUUUGGGUCGCCAGACGGUACCUGUCUAAGAAACCCCGGCUAACUACGUGCCAGCAGCCGCGGUAAUACGUAGGGGGCAAGCGUUAUCCGGAUUUCCUGGGUGCAAAGGGAGCGUAGACGGCAGCACAAGUCUGAAGUGAAAUGCCGGGGCUUAACCCCGGAACUGCUUUGGAAACUGUGCAGCUAGAGUGCAUGAGAGGUAAGUGGAAGUCCUAGUGUAGCGGUGAAAUGCGUAGAUAUUAGGAGGAACACCAGUGGCGAAGGCGGCUUACUGGACUGUAACUGACGUUGAGGCUCGAAAGCGUGGGGAGCAAACAGGAUUAGAUACCCCUGUAGUC
rnacentral:rRNA from 1 species